AUGGGAUGGCGGCGUGCUUACCAUGCAGUCGACGAUGAACCGGUUUCGGCCGGGGAUUAGUGGCGAACGGGUGAGUAACACGUGGGUAAUCUGCCCCGCACUCUGGGAUAAGCCCGGGAAACUGGGUCUAAUACCGGAUAUACAUCGAUGGUCGCAUGGCCUGUCGGUGGAAAGCUUUUGCGGUGUGGGAUGGGCCCGCGGCCUAUCAGCUUGUUGGUGGGGUGAUGGCCUACCAAGGCGACGACGGGUAGCCGGCCUGAGAGGGUGACCGGCCACACUGGGACUGAGACACGGCCCAGACUCCUACGGGAGGCAGCAGUGGGGAAUAUUGCACAAUGGGCGAAAGCCUGAUGCAGCGACGCCGCGUGAGGGAUGACGGCCUUCGGGUUGUAAACCUCUUUCAGCAGGGAAGAAGCGCAAGUGACGGUACCUGCAGAAGAAGCACCGGCUAACUACGUGCCAGCAGCCGCGGUAAUACGUAGGGUGCAAGCGUUGUCCGGAAUUAUUGGGCGUAAAGAGCUCGUAGGCGGCUUGUCGCGUCGGUUGUGAAAGCCCGGGGCUUAACCCUGGGUCUGCAGUCGAUACGGGCAGGCUAGAGUUCGGCAGGGGAGACUGGAAUUCCUGGUGUAGCGGUGAAAUGCGCAGAUAUCAGGAGGAACACCGGUGGCGAAGGCGGGUCUCUGGGCCGAUACUGACGCUGAGGAGCGAAAGCGUGGGGAGCGAACAGGAUUAGAUACCCUGGUAGUCCACGCUGUAAACGGUGGGAACUAGGUGUGGGCAGCAUUCCACGUUGUCUGUGCCGUAGCUAACGCAUUAAGUUCCCCGCCUGGGGAGUAAACUCAAAGGAAUUGACGGGGGCCCGCACAAGCGGCGGAGCAUGUGGCUUAAUUCGACGCAACGCGAAGAACCUUACCAAGGCUUGACAUACGCCGGAAAACCCUGGAGACAGGGUCCCUCUUUGAGUCGGUGUACAGGUGGUGCAUGGCUGUCGUCAGCUCGUGUCGUGAGAUGUUGGGUUAAGUCCCGCAACGAGCGCAACCCUUGUCCUGUGUUGCCAGCGGGGUCCUUCGGGGCUGCCGGGGACUCACGGGAGACUGCCGGGGUCAACUCGGAGGAAGGUGGGGACGACGUCAAGUCAUCAUGCCCCUUAUGUCUUGGGCUGCACACGUGCUACAAUGGCCGGUACAAUGAGCUGCGAUGCCGUGAGGUGGAGCGAAUCUCAAAAAGCCGGUCUCAGUUCGGAUUGGGGUCUGCAACUCGACCCCAUGAAGUCGGAGUCGCUAGUAAUCGCAGAUCAGCAUUGCUGCGGUGAAUACGUUCCCGGGCCUUGUACACACCGCCCGUCACGUCACGAAAGUCGGUAACACCCGAAGCCGGUGGCCUAAUCCCCUUGUGGGAGGGAGCUGUCGAAG
rnacentral:rRNA from 2 species